rnacentral:lncRNA from 1 species
CCCGAGGGGAGAGGAGACUGCGGAGAGGAUGGGAGGCAAAGCACUUCCUUCAAGCUCCAGGGAGGCAGGAGGAUUUGUUUAGGAGUGGCCCUGUGCAGAAUAAGCUCUGCUGUGAGUCCCAGCGGGCUGAGACACUGUGACUGCCCACCUGUCCCCGCGUGCCCCUUCUAUACAGCCCCAUCCCUUCCCAGGGAUGCUCAGUGGCUGCAGCCACCCUUGCUUUCUGCCACUCAGCCCUUGCAGGGGCUUCACACCCCAAGAGGGGCAGUCUGGGCUGGGGCUCCUGGACUCCCUAAGGCAUUAUCCCAUCCCCGCAAGUUGCCCGGCCGGGCCCUGAAGGAAAGGGGCCCCAGACCCAGACCCGAAGGCUCCUGCUCACCAGAGGCUCCGCCCAGGGACUCUCACCUCUCCAGCCACUCCAACUCCCCUCCGGCUUUCUUGUCAUUUCCUGAUGCCACAAAUCUUCUGACAUCCUCCCUCUUCCCCAGUGAAUUUCUUCCCCAGGCCCUUCCCUUCCUCAAACUGCUUCAUACUGGACAUUCCCAGCUGGUAGGAUCUGCCUGUGGCUCUGCACAGGAGGCUGGGCAAGGGUGGAGAAGACUGGGGGAGCUGUCUCCCAUGACCCCAGCAGAGGCGAGAGACAGAAGCUGCAUCUGGGACCUGUCGGCUGCAGUUUUGGGCAUUCAUACCCACCUAAGCAUUCUGGAACAGCCCUGAACCUGGGCAUCAAA